rnacentral:rRNA from 1 species
UACGGGGGGAGCAAGCGUUGUUCGGAUUUACUGGGCGUAAAGAGCUCGUAGGCGGUCUGUUACGUCUGCUGUGAAAACCCUGGGCUUAACCCUGGGCUUGCAGUGGAUACGGGCAGACUAGAGGCAGGUAGGGGAGAAUGGAAUUCCCGGUGUAGCGGUGAAAUGCGUAGAUAUAGGAAGGAAUACCAGUGGCGAAGGCGGCCUCCUGGAUCGAUACUGACGCUGAGGCGCGAAAGCGUGGGGAGCAAACAGG